rnacentral:piRNA from 1 species
UGAGAAGACAGGGUUCAGCCCCCCCUA